CCUACGGGAGGCAGCAGUGAGGAAUAUUGGUCAAUGGGCGUAAGCCUGAACCAGCCAAGUCGCGUGAGGGAUGAAGGUUCUAUGGAUCGUAAACCUCUUUUAUAAGGGAAUAAAGUGUGGGACGUGUCCUGUUUUGUAUGUACCUUAUGAAUAAGGAUCGGCUAACUCCGUGCCAGCAGCCGCGGUAAUACGGAGGAUCCGAGCGUUAUCCGGAUUUAUUGGGUUUAAAGGGUGCGUAGGCGGGCUUUUAAGUCAGCGGUAAAAAUUCGGGGCUCAACCCCGUCCGGCCGUUGAAACUGGGGGCCGUGAGUGGGCGAGAAGAAGGCGGAAUGCGUGGUGUAGCGGUGAAAUGCAUAGAGAUCACGCAGAACCCCGAUUGCGAAGGCAGCCUUCCGGCGCCCUACUGACGCUGAGGCACGAAAGUGCGGGGAUCGAACAGGAUUAGAUACCCGAGUAGUC
rnacentral:rRNA from 1 species